rnacentral:rRNA from 1 species
GAACCUUACCUGGGCUCGAAGCGCAGUGGAAUCCGGUGGAAACAUCGGCGCCCCUUAAAAGGCCGCUGCGGAGGUGCUGCAUGGCUGUCGUCAGCUCGUGUCGUGAGAUGUUGGGUUAAGUCCCGCAACGAGCGCAACCCUUAUCCCUAGUUGCCAUCGGGUCAAGCCGGGCACUCUAGUGAAACUGCCUCGGAUAACGAGGAGGAAGGUGGGGAUGACGUCAAGUCCUCAUGGCCUUUAUGUCCAGGGCUACACACGUGCUACAAUGGUCGGUACAAACCGUCGCAAACCCGUGAGGGGGAGCUAAUAGGAAAAAGCCGGCCUCAGUUCGGAUUGGAGUCUGCAACUCGACUCCAUGAAGCUGUAAUCGCUAGUAAUCGCGGAUCAGAACGCCGCGGUGAAUACGUUCCCGGGCCUUGUCACACCGA